UACAGAGGUCCCAAGCGUUGUUCGGAUUCACUGGGCGUAAAGGGUGCGUAGGUGGCUUGGUAAGUUUGAUGUGAAAUCUCCGGGCUUAACCCGGAAAUGGCAUUGAAUACUAUUGAGCUGGAGGUUUGGAGGGGGGACUGGAAUUCUCGGUGUAGCAGUGAAAUGCGUAGAUAUCGAGAGGAACACCUGCGGCGAAGGCGGGUGCUGGGCUGAUACUGACGCUGAGGCGCGAAAGCCAGGGAGCGAACGGG
rnacentral:rRNA from 1 species